CCCGGCUGUUCCAACGGCCCGGCUGGGGCGACGCCUCGUCUUCCCGACUCCCGCCGCUCUUUGCUCUUCGGGCCGGUGUCCCGCCACCCUCCCUCCGGUUCCUCGUCGUCGGGCCGGGAACUCGCAGCUCAGCGCCCGAAAUUGGUGAGCGCUCUCUAAUCAGAAAAACCAGUUGUCUUCGGGAAGACAGACCUGUUUCAUCCGCAGCUUUUCCCUGCCAGUGGAAAAACAAGAAACCUGUCAAUGGCGAUGCUAACUCCUGGCACUUCCCAUGUGGCGAAGACUGGCAAUUUCGAGUGCUCCACAACAACAUCAGCAAAGAGGAGAAAGUAAUCUACUGAGGAACCAGCAUUGACAGCGGUGGAAUCUGAGUUCUGGAUCCGCUUGGGGUUGUUGGAACUGGCAAUACUACUGUCACCAGUCCAGAGGCAUCCAGAGCUGUCAGGUCUGAGGAUGGAGUCGGCGAGAUCCAAGAUCUAGGGGUGUGCAACUGAAUCAAGUUCCAAGCAAGAGGCAGUGGUCUGGAGAUCCAAUGAGGCAGGCGCAGAACUGGCAGUUGAGGUAUGGAUCUGGCAGAGGAUGAACUGUCAGAUUUAUGACAGGCAGAAGAGAGGCCUGGAGCUGUGGCAGAGACUGAGACAAGACCAUCAGGUAUCUCCAUUGAUCAUUGACCUUCAAGAACCAGCCUUCAUUACAGAGUACAGUUACCAUUGUACUUUAACACGGGUUACAGCUUCCUUGUCAUGCUGGCUUGGUGUUUUCUGCAUUUAUGUUUGUUUUGGGUCGUCUUCCGUCAGGUGUGGUCAGGUCUGGUGCAGCUGGCUGGUGUUCAUCAUUUAGGUUCUCUGCAGUGCCACGGUUACUGGGUACACUUGAUCUUUUGCUCUGUCUGACUCCAACAAGAAGGCGAGUCAUACAGUUUAGCCUGAGUCCAGUGUUUCCACUGGCUACCUUGUGAGGUCUGCACACAAACUUAGAAGUCAUUUGUCAAAAGCACAACCACCUGGGAUUUUCGGGCAGCUGUCUCACAAUGACUUGAUCACCCGGUUGAGAGAGGACUAUCUUCUCUUCCUCUGACUUUCUUUGGUCAGCAAUAUGUUGUUGCUGAUUUGCUCUGUCCCUCAAUGCAUUAACCUGAUCACAGUGGUCCUUCACAUCUCCAUAUGGUCUUACUAAAUUGGCUCCACUAUCUUCUUCCUCUUCAGUUUCUGUCAUCUCAUGUUCUUCUGUGCUAUCUUUGCACUGUGAUUUCCAAAAUCAAUCCCUUUCUGCACCUUACUCUCCCCUUUAUGGUGUGCCUUUAAUUGCUGCUACCUUUACAGGUAGCUGGACUACUUCUAACAGCUCUUCACUGUGUUUGUGCUACCUUGGGACUUCCUGACAUGAUUUGUGAUCAUUGUCCUGUUGUAAAAAAAAUACCUCUUAUAACAAUGAUUAGUGAGGUACAGAGAGAAAUGUAUUUACCGACAAGUACCUUUAUUGUUUGAACAAAUUCAUACACUGAAUACCUUGUGUGCACACCCACUAAGUAUCCUUGAAUAGUCAAAGAAUAGCAAAGGUAUUACCCGGGCAAAAGAAUCUACUGACCAGCUGACCAGAUUUUCCUCGUAGUCCAGAUUCACUCGCCAAGUGUUUCAUGUAGGGUUGCUCAUGCUGCAUCUGUGAUGGUUAUUCUGUGAAGUUACUGCUGCCAGCACACACAAAGCAUCCAUUUUUAUAUCCACUCCUUAUCAAUUCAAAUAUUGCAUUCCAGUGUCAUUGGCCAUGGGUCAUGUGUCUUACCUUUAACACCUUGUUAUUGGUUCUGCUCUAAACCAGCAUCCAUUUAUUGCCUCUUCCCAUCAAGUGACAGUCCAUAAUUUAAGUCUCCUUGUUCUCAAUCAGCAACGAGCUCAAAUCACUCCAGGCAGGCACCAACCCCAGCAUUCACAAACCUGCACACUAUAUCCAUCCAAAGAACAUCUCACAAAUAACUUCUUAUUUGGAAGUUAUCUCUAGUCCAGCAGAUUAUCUGCAGUGUGUCUUUAAAACAUGCAUGUCAAGCUCACAAAAUGGAGAAUAGAGUGUCUUCACAAAAUGGCAGCCUCCAUUCCCAAGCACACAGCAAGAGCAAAGACAACUAGUGUGUCUGUUUCCACUGUCCUUGAUUCAUUUGGAUUCACUGAUCUGUAGACUGUUGUUUUGCUGUCCAACAGUCCCAUCUCCUACCCUUACUAGGGCUGCUUUACCCAUUGAGACAUGCUGUCUGGUCUUUGCAUCAUAGAUGUUCACUGGUUCUGUUUUGUCCAUGUUAUUUUUCCUUUAUGAUAGCACUUGCCUUACUUAGUGUGUCUAUCCCCAGGAUAGUGCCUCAUUGUUUAGACACAGCUAAAAUCUACAAGAAGAUGCCUUCCCUCUAAAUGAAGAACCUGAGGUUAUAAAGCAGUUACAGACCUGUUCUUAAAACACACAAGCAUGCUUACAAAUGAGUACGCCCCAUUGGCACCACCAGUAACCACCCUUCGCAACAGGUGGCCCUGUCUCACCAAGUUACCCAAAAAUGCCUGGUCUCUUGCACAAACACACACACACAACACUACUUUUAUAUCUACCCAUUCAGCUGUGUUCCUGAUAUCUUGUGAUCCCAAUCAUUGACCUGAACAGAUCUAAACUUAAUCUUAAAAAUACUCACUGCUGAGAUCAUUGACCACACAAUAGGUCACAAGCAUGUCCCUGUCAAGCCCCCAAAUGUAGUGACUGUCAACAAAAGCUACCAGAGAGACAGGCAGCUGGUAGUAUAAAAGUCUUUAUUCGGCACACAUUCGGAGUUCAGCUGACAGCAUUCGGAGUUUCUCUGGAGUGUUUCUCUGACCCAACAUUAUAUGCUAAAGGUCAAUGGUAACAGUGGGACAAUUUCUUUAGUUAUAAUGCCUCCUUUGAGUUACAGAUAAUUUUCAAACACCUAGAUCUUCAAACCAAUACACCCAAAAAUAGUGUUAUUCCCAGUUUGCUAUUGACCUUUAGGAAGACCAUUGUUCUGAGCUGCAUUUUAAACUCAACAAUCCAUGUGCAAAACUGAAGACUGGUUGUUAUUGAAAUUAAUAUUUUCUAUAUUCCAUAUUUCCAGAAUACACCCUAACAGCAGUCAGUGUAAUGCUUUACACACCAGCUGUAAAAUUACUUACAGUCAGACGUCUCAGCAAAGUUUCAAGUCUCAGGAUCCUGUUGAUUGUUCAUCAUUCAAUGCCACAGUAUCUUCUGGAUGACUGUUUUCCAGGUUUUAACAUGCACUGAACUACAUUGAAAGAGUGCCAAGGUGGCUGAACAAUCUCUCUUGGACACCUAAGCACUCCGUUGAUAGAUGGGUAAGUCCAAUUUCCAUCCACAGUGCGAGUUACGUCAGGACGGUCUUCUACAUAUGGAGGCAGCUACCCAGUUCCCUUGGCCUGGCAUGAUGAGGUGCAGAAACAUCCUCACCCUCUGCUUCAGAGAGGGACAUGAGAUCUAUUUCAUAUCACUACUGUUCUGGGAAUGGCUGUGGCUCUGCAGAUGGAUCUUCACGUGGCUCUGUUUAUUAUCAGAGAAUGUAUACACUAUACAAUCCGAAAUACUUAGUCAUCGCUGACAUCCACGGAAAACAGAACCCCAAAGACCGCUUUCCUGCAAGUAGCAGUAAGCAUCAACCUCCCUCUCAUCUGUUUCAGCAAAAAAGCAUCAGCACCCACUUAGCAAUAGCAGAGUACCCAAAGAGAGACCAUGAUUUGCAGUCAACAAAAGCUAUUGUUUACCUGACCGUUCGACAUGCCACAGGCUCUUUCCCUAACAAGGAACAGAGAGGUGUCACCCAUUCAUAGCAAAAAGGGAGGCUAACAGUCUGCUACAUUGCAUUUUAUCCUGAGAUUCUCUGACUCGAGAGUUAGCAGCAAACUCUCCCCACCAUUGAGAGCGUGCAAUCGCUGGUCUACAGAGACCUCCAUCUGUACAUCCGCCACAGUGAAAUCCUGUUGUCCCUUCUCCUUCAGCAUCACUAAGUGAAAUCGCUAUCUUCCAACCAGCUGGCAAGCUCCAGGAGCAGGAACUCAUCUGCCGUUUUUAAAAAAAGUUUGCCAUUGCAAAUCAGGACCUCAAUAGAAUCCCAGACCCCUUGAAAAGGGAAAAAAAAAGACUUUUAAGAAAAGAAUGAACUCUUCCUGAGUUUCAAGCAGCAGCCACUGCCCUGUGACUCAGCCAAUGGUGGGCUACCACCAACAGUGGUGCAUUCAACAAGCCCACCUCGUCUCUGGAUUGUCUGCAGUUACUGGGUCCAAGGACCGGAUUGAGUCAUUCUCUUGACCAGGAACCUCAGCAGCAGUCCUCUUUUACUGGAACAGAGGUGUCUGCAGGUCCCUUUGCCAACUCCAGUUCCUCUCACUAGGGAUCAGCCAUACUGUGACAUCCCUCUGUAGUUAUUGGUUCUCUAAUGAGCAUGCAGGCCAUAGUGGCGCAGUGAUGGAUGCUGCUGCUAUGUCAAGGUACCUUCCCACCCAGUCUCUCCUGGGUCCUUGAGGCGUUGAAGAGAUGGUUUUCAUGGGAGAAGGUGUUGCCUGCUUCGUACCGUUCUCCACUGCUUGGGAAGUCACCACAAUCCAAUUGGACUUAGAGGGACAGAGACUCUCUCAGGGAGUUCUGCACUCUUAGUCGGACUCAGCUCCCAAAUGGCAGAUAUUUACUUGGAUGGUGGGAAGCUCCAUCUUCAAUACCCCCAAGUGCUAUCUGGAUUUCGGUCUCCGCCUCAACCUCACACUGACCCUGACUGUCUCUCAAGAGAUCUGGCCUCUCCAAGCUGGUAAUCUACCAGUUUAACCAGAAUUUAGUACAUUGGUCAAAUGUAUCUCUCACACCACAGUAAAUAUAUAAUCGACAAUUACACAUCCAUCUCAAUUGUAAAGGUCCAAGGAGAUAGACUCAGAACAGAACGUGGGGUGAACAAAAUGGUCACUCAGACAGGCCUUCCAGUAGAGACUAACAAGGGACAAUGAAGUAGAUUAGGUAACCACAAAGGGGCCAGAUACAAAAUGAUGAUCAUCAAUACCAGGCAAUGUUGCAGUAAGGCAAGUGUUAUCAUAAUAUCCAGGCAAGGUAGGAUUGCAAGUUAUAGUCCAGACAGGAAAAGUCUUUGAAGGACACUUCCCUUUGAACACCAGGGGCCUGGAGAUGUGAUCAGUAAUCUAAGACACACACCAACAAAUGCUUCAAAUCAUCAUCCAUUGUCAGCUUAGUUUCUAAUGACUUUUAAUAUGUGUAUUGUGAAUGGAGACUGUUCUUUCAAAUAGGGAAAUCAAACAUAACAGUUUACCAAAUGGUCAAUGUCUGUAACUGCUAAUCGAUUCUGUAUGAAAAU